rnacentral:tRNA from 1 species
GGGCUCGUGGCUCAAUGGUAGAGCGUACGGUUCACAUCCGUAAGGUCAUAGGUUCAAUUCCUAUCGAGCCCACAA